rnacentral:rRNA from 1 species
UAGAGUUUGAUCAUGGCUCAGAUUGAACGCUGGCGGCAGGCCUAACACAUGCAAGUCGAGCGGUAACAGGAAUUAGCUUGCUAAUUCGCUGACGAGCGGCGGACGGGUGAGUAAUGCCUGGGAAUAUGCCUUGAUGUGGGGGAUAACUAUUGGAAACGAUAGCUAAUACCGCAUAAUGUCUUCUGACCAAAGAGGGGGAUCUUCGGGCCUCUCGCGUCAAGAUUAGCCCAGGUGAGACUAGCUAGUUGGUGGGGUAAGAGCUCACCAAGGCGACGAUCUCUAGCUGGUCUGAGAGGAUGAUCAGCCACACUGGAACUGAGACACGGUCCAGACUCCUACGGGAGGCAGCAGUGGGGAAUAUUGCACAAUGGGCGAAAGCCUGAUGCAGCCAUGCCGCGUGUAUGAAGAAGGCCUUCGGGUUGUAAAGUACUUUCAGUUGUGAGGAAGGCAGUAAAGUUAAUAGCUUUGCUGUUUGACGUUAGCAACAGAAGAAGCACCGGCUAACUCCGUGCCAGCAGCCGCGGUAAUACGGAGGGUGCGAGCGUUAAUCGGAAUUACUGGGCGUAAAGCGCAUGCAGGUGGUCUGUUAAGCAAGAUGUGAAAGCCCGGGGCUCAACCUCGGAACAGCAUUUUGAACUGGCAGACUAGAGUACUGUAGAGGGGGGUAGAAUUUCA